CUGCUCAAUGAAUAAUUUAAAUAGCUGCAGUAUAAAUAACUGUACAAAGGUAGCAUAAUAAUUUGUUUUCUAAUUAAAAACUAGAAUGAAUGAUUUAAUGAAAUAUAAACUGUAUCAAAUUUAAAAAAUAAACUUUUUAUUUAAAUAAAAAAAUUUAAAUAAUUUUUAAAGACGAGAAGACCCUAAAGAAUUUUUAUAAUAAAUUUUAAUAUAAUUAAUUUUAUUAUAUUAAUUGGGGAAAUUUUAAAAUUAAAAAAAUUUUUAAUUAAAUAAACAUAAAUUUUUGAAUAUUUAUAAUUUUUUAAAAAAUUAAAUUUAAUUACCUUAGGGAUAACAGCAUAAUUUUUUUAAAAAG
rnacentral:rRNA from 1 species